UUCCUCAUUCUGUGAAUCAUGAACAAAACAGCUUUGUAAUCUAAGUUCAAUGAUCAUGGAUAUGCUAUCUAUCUUCAUGGUGAUGACUCUCGUAGGAAAAUGUCAAGGGAACACUUAUCUAAAUUAUCAAGAGAAAGAAGAAGCUAUAUCCCUACAAUGUGAAGAGAGAAUUUGGCAACUUGAUCUAGAUGAAGACAAUACGGUGGAUUGCACUUUGAAUUGCAGUCUUCAUGACAAUGAGAAGAAAUGUGACCAAGAUCCGAAGUGCAAUAAUACAACAUUUACAUUAGAAACAAAAACCUGCAAAAACAGUAUCAAACAAUGUUUAAAUAUGAAAUUGGAGAAAAACGUCACUGGAUUCUUUGCAUGUUUUCAUACCUUUCCAUCAAAUGACCAACACUUAUUCCCCUUUAAACCUUCAAAAGAUCAGGUGGAAUCAUUUAUUGUGGCAUUUGUUGAACCAAAGAUGGUGAUAUGCUACCCUGGUGUGGAAACUAAAACGUCUGUUACCAAACAGCAUGGAGAAUCAGUCAACCUUGCAUGUAAUUUCACAGUAGCCAAAGAUUACUCUAGCUUUCCAUUUUCAGUGUAUUGGAUCAAAACCAUCAGUGGCAACAGUAGCAUCUGUCUUUAUUCUUAUUCUUAUGAUAGUGAUGUACAAUUAUAUGACCACCAUUGUCUCAUUGAUGAGGCCCUGCUGAAACGAAGGUCAAAUACUUCAUCUAUUCCCCUAACAAGCCCUAUCUUUCAUAACCUUAAGAUCAGCAAUGCCACAUAUUCAGACAGUGGACAGUAUGUUUGUGCCGUACAGGUGCUUAAGAAUAGAAAAGGGCACUGGAAGGUAAUAACUAAUGUCACAGUCACUGUGAAUGGAGAAUUCAACAACCACCCCAACAGGAAUGACACAGCCCUGUUAUAUACUCCUGGGGAUCCUUACAUACCACUGUAUGUAGUGGGAGCCUUGUUCUUCUCCUGCCUGUUUGUUACUGCCAUUGUCAUUGUCAUGCUGAAAAAUACCAAGAUUUCACAAGACUCCCCAUAUGCUGAGGGCAGAGGAGAGGAUGAGGGGCUCUUCUCACUUCUGAAGCUGACUGAAGUGAGAGAUCCUGUGACUGUACAGAACGGAGCUGAAGAACAUGCUGCUGUUGCUGUCGAGCCCAAUUCUGUCGUCAUGUUCAAGGCCUUUGACCCCCAGGCCACUCAGACAUCAUCCACCUACCCCCUCAGGAUUGGAGCGAAAGUAUGAUUUACUAGCUGCCAAUAGUUACUCAUAUGAUGUAGAAAAGUGAGCUAAAGAUAAUGUUUUCAUGAUUGACUUUCAUAUUGGGUUUAGACCAGGAUUGGGGCAGGGCUGCCAGGGGUUUGUUUGGGAUGGCGGGUGGGAGGGGUUGGUUAAAAAAAACAUGUGUGAUUCUUAUUGAUUGUACAGGUUAUGUGACUCAAUAAAAAACUUAGCUGACAAAAAUUAAGGUACAUUAAAAAGAAAAGGAGGAUUCACUUCUUUUUUAAUUGAA